AGUUAAAUUAUUAAGGGCGUAUGGUGGAUGCCUUGGCAUUAGAAGACGAUGAAGGACGCGACAAACAGCGAUAUUGCUUCGGGGAGUUGUAAGUAAACUACGAUCCGGAGAUCUCCGAAUGAGGAAACUCACCCAUUAGGGUAUCAUAAAGUGAAUACAUAGCUUUAUUGAAGUCAACCCCGUGAACUGAAACAUCUUAGUAACGGGAGGAAAAGAAAGAAAAAUCGAUUGCCUGAGUAGUGGCGAGCGAAACGGCAACAGCCCAAACCAGUCUUAGGACUGGGGUUGUAGGACACUAAUAUACGGAGUUACCAAGUUUUAUGAUAGCAGAACACUUUGGAAAGAGUGACCAUAGGAAGUGAUAGUCUUGUAUGCGAAAUCAUGAAACCUCUAUAGUGUAUCCUGAGUACGGCGGGACACGAGAAAUCUUGUCGGAAUCUGUGGGGACCAUCCCAUAAGGCUAAAUACUCUCUAAUGACCGAUAGUGAACAAGUACCGUGAGGGAAAGGUGAAAAGAACCCCGGGAGGGGAGUGAAAUAGAGAAUCUGAAACCAUAUGCUUACAAAAAGUUCGAGCCCAUUAACGGGUGAGAGCGUGCCUUUUGCAGAAUGAGCCGGCGAGUUAUGGUAUUGUGCAAGGUUAAGUGGAAAACACGGAGCCGAAGCGAAA
rnacentral:ncRNA from 1 species